UCAUAUCCAGCCUAUUGGAUGAGACUGGCACACCCCAGACUCUUUACAAAGGUUACAAACAGGGGCAGACUUCUAACCAAGUCAGACAAGGGCCUGGAAGGUGAUUAAGACACCAACACGCCUUUGUCCAGGCUCAAACACAUAGGAGAGGGGAAGAGGGAUAGGAUUACUUUGUGUAAAGGCUGUUGACAACCUUAGUUCUAGACUAGAAAUGGCAAUACCCUUGUCCAGAACAACUCACAUACAAACAAGAAGCAAGGAAAUAAUAUAAAAACAUUUAGCAGACAAGCUUAAAUAGAAGCACAACCAAAGAAAGUAUUCAAUAUGUUGAUCUUAAUAAAACAUUAAAUGUAAGCACCCAAAAGGAAAGGGGAAUCAGGGAUUAACAUGUUGAAUACUGAAAGUGUAACAGGCAAAGACAGGGUGAAAGUAAACAAGUAGUUGAAAGAUUGGUAAUUGAGAUUAGAACCUACCAGUUGCACUUGAAUGACAAAAGUCUGAAAGUGUAACAGGCAAAGACAGGGUGAAAGUAAACAAGUAGUUGAAAGAUUGGUAAUUGAGAUUAGAACCUACCAGUUGCACUUGAAUGAAAAUGUAAAGAGGAAUUCU
rnacentral:lncRNA from 1 species